rnacentral:rRNA from 1 species
GGAGUUUGGUCCGUGUCUCAGUACCAAUGUGGGGGACCUUCCUCUCAGAACCCCUACUGAUCGUCGCCUUGGUGGGCCGUUACCCCGCCAACAAGCUAAUCAGACGCAUCCCCAUCCUAUAGCGGUGAACCUUUGGUGUUCGUCGGAUGUCCUCAAAACACAACAUAGAGCAUUAAUCCGAUUUUCACCGGGCUAUGCCCUACUGGGGGGAAGGUUGGAUACGCGUUACUCACCCGUGCGCCGGUCGCCAUCAGAGUUUGCAAGCAAACCCCAUGCUGCCCCUCGACUUGCAUGUGUUAAGCCUGUAGCUAGCGUUCAUC